rnacentral:rRNA from 1 species
GAUGAACGCUGGCGGCGUGCCUAAUACAUGCAAGUCGAGCGAACAGACGAGGAGCUUGCUCCUCUGACGUUAGCUGCGGACGGGUGAGUAACACGUGGAUAACCUACCUAUAAGACUGGGAUAACUUCGGGAAACCGGAGCUAAUACCGGAUAAUAUAUUGAACCGCAUGGUUCAAUAGUGAAAGACGGUUUUGCUGUCACUUAUAGAUGGAUCCGCGCCGCACUAGCUAGUUGGUAAGGUAACGGCUUACCAAGGCAACGAUGCGUAGCCGACCUGAGAGGGUGAUCGGCCACACUGGAACUGAGACACGGUCCAGACUCCUACGGGAGGCAGCAGUAGGGAAUCUUCCGCAAUGGGCGAAAGCCUGACGGAGCAACGCCGCGUGAGUGAUGAAGGUCUUCGGAUCGUAAAACUCUGUUAUUAGGGAAGAACAAAUGUGUAAGUAACUGUGCACAUCUUGACGGUACCUAAUCAGAAAGCCACGGCUAACUACGUG